CAUUUCCCACUUAGGCUGCUAUUUCCAGGGAAUGAUUAUUUGAUUGUAACAUUUGUUCCAGGCAGCAACGGGCCAAGGAGAGGUCUUAGCUCAAAAGCACCUUCCACCUACUUAAAAGCAACAGCCACCACAGCGUACUCAAUUUAAAAUGAUGGAAAUCAACAACAAAAACCUCAGAUAUUUUGAGUUCUGGAGGACAGAAAGGGUUGUUUUGACAAUGGCGUGAAGUUUAUGACUGCGGGUCAUCAAGAGUUCAUUGUCUGGCAUUCUGGCAUGGGCAUGAUUGAAGGAGCUGCCAAAACAUCACUGAGCACAAAUCUGGAAGAUGGAAUAAGUGGAGACAGGAGGUCUCAAUCAGCUCUCUCCUUUUUGGGAGUUUGCGCACUGAGGAGAGCAGGGUUGGCAGCAGCAAGAGAGAGAAAGCCUGAUCAAGACCAAGGUAAAGAAAUCAAAAGUUGGUGCCUCCACAUUGUCUUGCCCAUCCUACCUGUUGAAGUGUCCCUGGACCACAGGGUGGCAGAACAUCUCAUCCUGUGUGAAGUGGUCUGAGAGACAGCACAAGACAAUUUCCUUUGAUGGUGAAGUUUUCCAAAGAACAAUUGCCUCACUCUUCUGAUCUGUUGGUGCCUUGGCUUUGCUGUGAUAUUAUACUGAUGCUGAGCGCAAGCCUGGGAACUUUGAAAAAGCUGCUGAGGUUGGAAAGAAUGUUGGGCUCAGCCAUGCCUUUAUUUUAAAUCAUUAAUCCUGUCUUACUUUUAUAAAAAUGGUCACAUAAUAAUAUAUGAACCAAUGAUAAAUAGUGACAUCUAUCAAAUUCUUAUGCUAUCCCAUGACUGGGCUCUCAGCAUUUAAAGUCGCCACCCUCUUCAUCCAGACCCCGGCAAGCUGCCUGUUGCAAGGCGAGGGCUCCAUAAAUAUCUCUGUAAUGAAUGAAUUAUCCUACAACAAACAUUUGUUGGACCUGCUGCUUUGAGCCCUGCUCAAAGGCAAUGAAAUGUUUUCUAUGUGAAAAUUUAUUGAGAGGAG
ensembl:lincRNA